rnacentral:rRNA from 2 species
CACGUAGGCACCAAGCGUUGUCCGGAUUUAUUGGGCGUAAAGAGCUCGUAGGCGGUUCAGUAAGUCAGGUGUGAAAUCUUUGGGCUUAACCCAAAGCGUGCAUUUGAUACUGCUGUGACUUGAGUUCGGUAGGGGAGUGGGGAAUUCCUAGUGUAGCGGUGAAAUGCGCAGAUAUUAGGAGGAACACCGGUGGCGAAGGCGCCACUCUGGGCCGAAACUGACGCUGAGGAGCGAAAGCGUGGGUAGCAAACAGG